rnacentral:rRNA from 1 species
UACGGAGGGUGCAAACGUUGCUCGGAAUCAUUGGGCGUAAAGCGCACGUAGGCGGCCUGAUAAGUCGGGUGUGAAAGCCCUGGGCUCAACCCAGGUAGUGCACUCGAAACUGUCAGGCUUGAAUAUGGAAGAGGGUCGCGGAAUUCCCGGUGUAGAGGUGAAAUUCGUAGAUAUCGGGAGGAACACCAGUGGCGAAGGCGGCGACCUGGGCCAAUAUUGACGCUGAGGUGCGAAAGCGUGGGGAGCAAACAGGG